rnacentral:lncRNA from 1 species
CGCUGUCGGUUUCCUGGAAGAUUACCAAACUUCGAUGAUGCUAGGUCGACGGAGAUACAAUUGAAUGCAAGGUUGCUGGUCUCCACACGAACGUGGUGACAACAUGUCUCGUCACCAUCGGAGGUUGGACAGGUUGCUGCCGCCGAAGAGACGCGGUCCAAGUUCGCCGUAUGGACGUUGGCCGGAGCGACGACCUUGGCGGGUAUCUACGCCUUCUUCAUAUACCACCAAACCCUCGGCGGCGCUGCAGGCAGCUCCUUGCCGCCAUGCAAGGCUGAAAAUCUCGCACAUAGCCGCAUCAC